GCAUGUAAACCCUAAUAUAAUGAUAAAGGUGGAAUGGAAAUAAAUUAAAAGUAAUGGACUAUAAUAAGGUUAUAGCCUAAUUAUUUUGAAUAGAGUCCAAGAGAAGUGGAUUUAAUGGACUAAGGAAGUUAUAUGAAUUAAACAAGCCCAAUUAAUUAAUUAAGCAUGGGACUUGUAGAUACAUGAUAAAGGGUGAUUAAAUUAUUUAAUCUAGCCCAAUAUAUUAUGUAUGGUGCAAGUAUUAUAAUGACCCAAUUAAAUUUUGGGUGGAAGCCCAAAUUAGUAUUUGUUAGUAAGUAUCACAAGUAAAAUGGCUAGCUCAAUGGAAUUAAUUAUUGAGAGCCC
rnacentral:lncRNA from 1 species